CCAAAAUGAAUUAUAUUAAUAAUAAAAAGUGUUUCUCAUAACACAAGAUGUAAUUUGGCUCUGACUUAUAAAAUGUGUCAUAUCAAGUAAGAAAGAAAUACACCACAUAUUGACUCAUGUAUCAUAAUUCUAAAGCAUUAGCAUUACAAGUCUUGCUACUCUUACCUAAAUAGUACCAAGUAAUUUUUCCCUGUCACAAGCCACAUUCACAUAUGUUUUACAGCAACUGUUGAUAUUAACCAUUGUUUUCCAUUUCUAAAAUUAACAAACAAUGUUUUUGUGUUGCUAUGAUUGUACUGCUACAACCUUGAGAGUCACCACAACAACAAUUCACCACUGCCGCAGAGCAGCAACCCGCAUGUUCCUCCAUUACAAACUCACUUCAACAUCAGAAAAGCCUAAAUAUCAUUAAAAAUCAGCAGUUAGAGCCAAAAGGUUAUUUGCAAAACAGCCUCAAUUUAUGCCAAAUUCUUUUGUCAUUUGGAUAUAAUGUGUGUGCCAAUCCAGACUAAGUAUUUUAUUAGCAGUUCGAACCAAGUUUUGUUAAGUUUUGGUCUAUCAAUGUUAGACAAACAAUCACUCCAAAUUUCCUUAUCAACUGCUAAUAAUGUUUUAAUUGAAUAUUAUUAUUAGUAUUAUUGUUUCUAGGGUUAAUGGUGCUUUACCCCCUGUAAUAUAGGUCAUUUUUAGUUUUCCCCCUGUAAAAUUUUUUUUUUUUAUUUACCCCCCUGUAAAAUAUCUUUAUUUUUUUUUUGCAGAAUUUUUUCGUUUUUUUAUGACCUAUUAGGGAGGUAUUCCAAAAAAAAAAAAAUUUUACAGAGGUGUAAAUCAAAAAAUAUAUUUUACAGGGGAAAAACCAAAAAUGACCUAUAUUACAGGGGGUAAAGCACCAUUAACCCUUAUUUCUAUUAUUACUAUUGAGCUAUCAUUGUGCAAAACUAGCAAAAUGUAUAAUCUAAGAUUUUUUAUCUUACCUCAUGUCAUUUGUAACUUUAGAUAAAAUGAUGCGGCAAAUAAACCAUGACUCCUCAGUAGAAGAGAAUGGUGCUCCAAACAACAGACAUCCAAAUCUACCCUUUUUCAGCUUUAAAACGAUAAUGACAGCUACAAAAAAUUGUGAUCAUAAGAAUAAGCUUGGACAAGGUGGAUUUGGCUCUGUCUACAAGGUGAGUGAAACUCUACAUUAAGCUACUGAUGCAAGAAGUGACAACAUCAGUCACCUCUUUAUAUUCAUUUCAAUCACAUUAUUAAAAAAUGGUGCAAAAAUAAUGAAAUAUGAUUUAAGAGAUAAAUAUUUCAGGGUUGCUUGGUUAAUGGACAAGAGAUUGCAGUUAAAAGAUUGUCCAGAGAUUCUGGUCAAGGCAAAGUAGAGUUUAAAAAUGAAAUUACACUUUUAGUUAAACUCCAACACAGAAAUCUAGUGAGGUUGCUCGGUUGUUGCUUUGAAAAAGAAGAAAGGAUGUUAGUUUAUGAAUACCUACCAAACAAAAGCCUAGACUUCUUUAUAUUCGGUAUGUCUCUCUCUGACUCACUCAUUGUCUUUCUGACCUGAAUAAACUUGUAUGUAUACAAGCCUAAAGCGUAGUGACUUAAUGUAACAUGUAACGCUCGAGCUUAUGCUAAUUCUGGCUUAUAGAUACUUAAUGUAACCUAUUUCCUAAAAAAAACUCCUAAAUGCAACAAAUUCAAACUUCACAUAAUUGUAAACAAUUAACAUUAGUUAAAUUUUUUACAGGUCAAACCUAUUUCUAUUCUCUUAAAAAUAUCUAUUACAAAUUUAGGCCUUCAACAUUAAGCAGGACAUAUCAUCAAACUUCAUGCCUCUCACUAACACUAAGUUGACCAUUGUCCUACUUAUAGCCUUGUAUACAUGUUUUAAAAUAAUUACAAGAAAUUUGAAGAUGUGCCUAUACUCUUUGUCAGGCACAAGAUGAUUAAUGAUCCGACAUAUUAUCUAAUUUCCCAUACUCAUUGACAGUUUCCUAAACUCUAAUACUCAUUGAUAUUUUGAUAAGUUUCUAUAAAGUUAAGCUCGAUUUGCAGUUAACUUUUCUUAAUAUGUUCUAUAUUUGUAAACUUAAACUGUUCAACUCAGAUCAAAACCAAAGGUCAUCAUUGGAUUGGGUAAAGCGUUUUGAAAUCAUUUGUGGGAUUGCUCGAGGUGUUUUAUAUCUUCACCAAGAUUCAAGGCUGAAAAUAAUUCAUAGAGAUCUAAAAGCCAGCAAUGUUCUCCUUGACGCUGCAAUGAAUCCCAAAAUCUCAGAUUUUGGUAUGGCUAGAAUAUUUGGAGAAGAUGAAAUCCAAGCAAGAACAAAAAGAGUGGUCGGAACAUAGUAUGUGUCACACACUUAUAUCACGAAAAUAUACAGAUGGAUAUGUAUUUUUAUGAUACUCUAACCAUUUUGUUUAAUUGCAGUGGAUAUAUGUCACCAGAAUAUGCAAUGGAAGGACGAUAUUCAACAAAAUCUGAUGUCUUCAGUUAUGGGGUCUUACUACUGGAGAUUAUUGCUGGCAAGAGAAACACACAUUGUGAAAUUGGAAGAGACUCCCCAAAUUUAAUUGGACAUGUAAGUUACAUAUAAUAAAAAGAGUAGCCUUAAAAUUGGCCAACAAUCUAAUGAUGCAUGACAUGACAUAUUUAUUUAAAAAUUGUGUUGUGCAUUUAUAGGUGUGGACACUAUGGACAGAAGAAAGAGCCUUGGAUAUUGUUGAUCCAGCACUAAACCAGUCUUAUCCUCUUGAUAUAGUUCUGAGAUGCAUUCAAAUUGGACUUUUGUGUGUGCAAGAAAAUGCAAUUAAUAGACCAUCAAUGUUAGAAAUUGUUUUCAUGCUAUGCAAUGAAACACCUCUCUGCCCACCUCAAAAACCAGCAUUUUAUUCAAUGGCAACCAUGAAUUGCAAGAACCAUCAACAUCAGGAUCUUCAAUAAAUGAAGUAACAGAAACUACUAUCAGUGCUCGCUAAAAGAUACCUUAAUCAAAUAUGUAAAUUUUUGGUUUAUACUUUCACCUUGAAAUUUAGUUUGUAGACAUUUCUAGAGGUUCUUGAGAAACAAGUAAGUCACGUUAUGGUAUUGCAAAAGAGUGGUGAUAUUUGAACAACUAUUUGAUACAACUUUUGUGACAAUUUCUUUUUUUUCUCUUUUCAUUAGUUAAAAACAAUGGAGAGAGAAAAAGAAGAGAGAGAAUAAGAGUAUAAUGUGAGUNAACCCUAAUUUAAUGUCUUUAGUCAUUUUUUACAUAUUUUAAUUUUAUUUUGGGUUGUUUCAUUUAAUAAUAGGGUUUAAAACUACAUGUUCAUGAAAUUGUGCAUAAAAAAUAGCGAAAAAUAUGUAUUCAAUUUUUUAUUAUAUUAAAAUAGACCCAUAAUACAAUUUUUUGCGAAGUGUGUUAGAUUAUUAUUAUUUUUGCUAGAUUAUUAGAACUAAAAACAAUAUUGAGGGAGUAAAGUGUAGAUUUUAUUAUAAGAGGGGAGAGGAAUGUAAUUCAAGCUUGGGGAGGGGUGUGUAAAAUUUUCUGAUAUGUUUUGAAUAAGAGGGGAGGGGAUUGUGUAUUUUAUGAUAAGAGGGGAGGGGGGGUGUAAUUUACUCUUAUAAUUUUCACCUCUCAAGAAAAAAAGUUUAUAAUUUACAGUUAAUUUUCACCUUUUUUUUUUUUUUGAAGGAAGUUAAUUUUCACUUAACUCGGUUAAAGAAUACUCCCUCCGUUCCUUUUUAAGUGUCACUUUUGGAGAAAAUUUUUGUUCCUAUUUAAUUGUAAUUUUCAAAGUUCAAUGCAACAUUAAAUGUUGUUUUAACAAUAUUCUCUUUAGUUAUUUAUAGCGGAGAGAGAAAUAUAUGAAAUGAGAUAUUGAAUUAAUAAGGUCAUUAUAGUAAAAGUAUAGCUUAUUGCAUCAAAAGUAGUAUCAAAUGUUUAUUGUCUUGGUUUGUGUAAAAUGUCAAAAUGUGACAAUUAAAAAGUAAAAUGUCAAAAUAUGACAAUUAAAAAGGAACGGAGGUAGUAAUUAUUAACAAAAAAAUUAAUUGCAAAAAUACUCAUACCUUCUCAGUCGAGAUCCAAGCUGUGUUGUGUUUAGUGUUCCCUCCACUCUCUUUUUUGUUGGCGAAUCUUCAUUAGAAUUUCCAAUGUUCAAGUACGGGUUGCAACCAAGUGGAACACCAUGUUCUCUCGACACGACGCGUGCUGCAAGAUAGAGAAUACGCCGGCGACUGAUACUUCCCUCGCCGCACAUUUCCUUCACAAAGAACGAAGCACCGGUAAUCACAGCUUGACAGGUUAGUGUUUGUAGUUCGUUCAAUCGGCAAGGGUAUUAUGGUAAACUACAACUAUAUAACGGGACAAACGGUCAUUUCGGUAGCUAAAUGUGUAAGAAUAACCAAAAUAGUCUCAUUCAAAUAGUCCUUCAAUACUCACAUUAACUCUUUAUAUAGGACCUAUAAAGCACGGACACUCCUUACCUUAGACGUGUCCCGGUGUAGGACAUGUGUCGUGUACUCGUGUUCGACACCGACACCUAUAAUUACACUAAAUUAUGUGACUUUUUCAAUUAUUAAUGGUGUCGGCGUGUCUGGAUCCGUGUUUGUAUCCGUACUUUAUAGUAUAGGACUGAAAUGACAAUGAGUAAGUAGUUUUACGGACCGAUAAAACAAUAAGUAAGUAUAUUGAAGGACUAAUAUGACAAUAUUAACCAGUUAUUUUAAUCUCAAGACUAUUUUGACUAAGGAAGUGUGCAAUUUAAGAUUAUAUUAAAAUUUUGAUACGUUGAGAGACUACUAUGGCUACUUGUUACAUAUUCGGGGAUUGGUCGCUUGUAGUGCUAAUCAUGAUAAACAAUUAUAGCAAAAUAUAAAUGAAAGUUAGUUUGUUUUAGUAUAUGUUAUAAGCUGUUUUAUUAAGCUAUGGUUGAAAACUUAUAAAAGUAAGACUAAAAAAGCUUAUGAAAUAUAGACCCUGCUCGAUUACCGAUUUCAUUUUGCUAUCCGUUUUGGUAAGGCCUUGAAUUUGCCAGGAAAUUUACCAUCGCUUAUACAUGUCACUGUAACGACGGACCAUGAGUCCAUGACCCAUUGAGGUACGUAGCUAACUGCCAAGCUCAACUUGCAUGCAUAAAAAGCAUCCUUUAUUAGAUACUUACGGGUCAAUCUUUGUGUCUGUGUAGUCAAAUACUGCUCACUUGCAUGCAUAAAAAGCGUCCUUGUUUAUGCUUCUUAAUUAGCAUGUACUAUUUGGAAAUCAAAAUUACCAACGUGAAAACCCAUGUUUGAUCAGAAACCAUAUAAUUAUUUACCUUCUUAUGAACACAUGUUUAUUGUCUUACCACCGUGUUCUCAAACACACAAUUAAUCAUGUUGAGUUGUAUUCAAUUUAAAUGAGAAUCAUCGACCCAAUAAUUUUUUCAUAAUGAGGCCUAAAAAAAUUAUAAUAUAUCAUAUAUUUUUUUGUCUACAGCCCUUUUAUUUAUAAACUAUAAUAAAAAUUAUUAAUCUUUUGUUGAUAGACCUAAAACGAGGAUUUUAGUUUCCUAUCUACUUACCUGUGGUUACUUUUCUUCAUUGAUUUUAUUUUCCCACUUUCUCAUGUGUCAGUGUCACUGACCCAUUGUGUGGAAAAUAUAACAAAGCAUCAUCAUGUCCUGUUGAGCAGGGGUACAAUUUUGUUUCAGUUAGAAUAGUUCAAUUAUCUCUUCAUGAAAUGCAAGAGGGGUAUGAUAGAAAAACUCAAUGGACUCUGCUAAAAAUCUUCUCUACCUUAGCACAGUCGAAAAUCAUAAAAACAAAUUGUUAGUGUUAGAUUACUCUUUGAUUCUACUAUGUCUCACCUUAUCUUUUUGCCCUUGUUCUUCUGAUACCAUAACUAUUCACAAACCCAUAAGAGAUGGUGAACUUCUCAUUUCUAAAUCUAAAACAUUUGCUCUUGGAUUCUUCACUCCAGGAAAGUCCACCUCUCGCUAUGUUGGAAUCUGGUACAACAAUUUGCCGAUCCAAACUGUUGUUUGGGUUGCAAAUAGAGAUGCUCCCAUCAAUGACACUUCUGGAAUUCUAUCAAUCAACCAAAAUGGGAAUCUAGAACUCCACCACAACCUUAGCACCAUUCCCAUUUGGUCUACCAAUGUUUCAUUAACACAGUCACAAAGAAAUAACACCAAUGUUAUAGCUCAACUAUUGGAUAUAGGAAACCUUGUUCUGAGGUUAAACGACACCGAAACUGCCAUCUGGGAAAGCUUUGAUCAUCCCACAGACACAAUGCUUCCGUAUCAAAAGAUUGGUUUUGAUAGAAAAAUUAAUCAAAGUUGGGUCCUUCAAUCCUGGAAGACAGAUGAUGACCCUGGAAAAGGUGCGUUCACGGUGAAAUUCAGCACCAUUGGCAAACCACAAUUGUUUAUGUACAACCAUGAUCGUCCUUGGUGGCGUGGUGGACAUUGGAAUGGAGCAAUAUUAGUAGGCCUACCUCAUAUGAUAGGAGAUAUGGCAGUUCGUAAUGUUUCUUGGGUUGAAGAUGACAACUAUGUAUCACUCUCAUAUAACAUGUUUAAUAAGUCUGUCAUUACAAGGAUAGUGGUUCAGCAAUCUGGUUUCUUUCAAACAUUCAUGUGGGACAGUCAAGAGAGUCAAUGGAGCCGGUACUGGUCUGAACCAACAGACCAAUGUGCUAACUACGGAACAUGUGGACCAAACAGUAAUUGUGACCCUUUGAACUUUGAGAGCUUUAAGUGUACUUGUUUACUUGGUUUUGAACCAAAAUUUCCACGUGAUUGGUAUGAGAGUAGAGAUGGGUUGGGAGGAUGUGUAAGAAAAAGAGGUGCAUCUGUUUGUGGGAAUGGAGAAGGGUUUAACAAAGUUUUAAGGGUGAAAGUUCCUGAUAUAUCUGGGGCAGUUGCCAUAGAUGGUUUGACUUUGGAAGAAUGUGAGAAAGAUUGCUUGAGAAACUGUUCUUGUAAUGCCUAUGCAGUUGCUGAUGUGAGGAAUGGUGGUAGUGGAUGUUUGACGUGGCAUGGGAAUUUAAUGGACAUUCAAAAACUUAGUAAUCAGGGCCAAGAUUUAUUUUUGCGCGUCGAGAAAGUUGAACUUGGUAAGAUAUUCCCUCCUACUGUUUUUUUUUUUUUUUGUUUAUAAAUUUGACACCACUUUUAAGUGUAGUUUAAACUUCUUUGGACUUGUUUUUUCUUAUCAGCUAAUUACAACAAAAAAAGCAAAGGAGUCCUUGAUAAAAAGAGGUUAGCUGCAAUUCUUGUAGCUUCUAUAGUUGCAAUUGUCAUCCUCCUCUUCUGUGUGAAUUACAUGUGGAAGAAAAAGAGAAAGGGNCCAAGAUUCAAGGCUGAAAAUAAUUCAUAGAGAUCUAAAAGCCAGCAAUGUUCUCCUUGACGCUGCAAUGAAUCCCAAAAUCUCAGAUUUUGGUAUGGCUAGAAUAUUUGGAGAAGAUGAAAUCCAAGCAAGAACAAAAAGAGUGGUCGGAACAUAGUAUGUGUCACACACUUAUAUCACGAAAAUAUACAGAUGGAUAUGUAUUUUUAUGAUACUCUAACCAUUUUGUUUAAUUGCAGUGGAUAUAUGUCACCAGAAUAUGCAAUGGAAGGACGAUAUUCAACAAAAUCUGAUGUCUUCAGUUAUGGGGUCUUACUACUGGAGAUUAUUGCUGGCAAGAGAAACACACAUUGUGAAAUUGGAAGAGACUCCCCAAAUUUAAUUGGACAUGUAAGUUACAUAUAAUAAAAAGAGUAGCCUUAAAAUUGGCCAACAAUCUAAUGAUGCAUGACAUGACAUAUUUAUUUAAAAAUUGUGUUGUGCAUUUAUAGGUGUGGACACUAUGGACAGAAGAAAGAGCCUUGGAUAUUGUUGAUCCAGCACUAAACCAGUCUUAUCCUCUUGAUAUAGUUCUGAGAUGCAUUCAAAUUGGACUUUUGUGUGUGCAAGAAAAUGCAAUUAAUAGACCAUCAAUGUUAGAAAUUGUUUUCAUGCUAUGCAAUGAAACACCUCUCUGCCCACCUCAAAAACCAGCAUUUUAUUCAAUGGCAACCAUGAAUUGCAAGAACCAUCAACAUCAGGAUCUUCAAUAAAUGAAGUAACAGAAACUACUAUCAGUGCUCGCUAAAAGAUACCUUAAUCAAAUAUGUAAAUUUUUGGUUUAUACUUUCACCUUGAAAUUUAGUUUGUAGACAUUUCUAGAGGUUCUUGAGAAACAAGUAAGUCACGUUAUGGUAUUGCAAAAGAGUGGUGAUAUUUGAACAACUAUUUGAUACAACUUUUGUGACAAUUUCUUUUUUUUCUCUUUUCAUUAGUUAAAAACAAUGGAGAGAGAAAAAGAAGAGAGAGAAUAAGAGUAUAAUGUGAGUAUGAGAGAGAAAAUUAUCAUAAAGUGGUUGUAUAAAUAUCAUUUCUCACUGUAAAAUGAAUAAUUUGAGUAUGUCUCCAUUUCAAUAAGCUUAUCGGUUAGAAGUAAUAUACAGAAAUAUAGCUGUUCAAUAGUAGUAGAGAUAGGUACAACAACUAGCGUAAACAAACGAUCGUGUUUCAUUGUCUUGGGAAAUUCUAAAGGUAAUUAAUUACUCAUAGUGAAUCCACUUAAAAAAAUCAAAUGGUUCAAUCGUUGUCAUUCAAUAUUAAAAACUAAUUAAUAAAUACUUCUAUUGCAAAUAUAGUCAUUAUAAAAAAAAACAAACUAAAAAUUAUAUGGCUUAAUUGCACUUUUUGCACCCUAUCUUUUCAAAAGUUGCGAUUUUGGCCCUCUAACUAAUUAAAAUACAAAACAGCCCCCUAUUUAUUGAAUCUUUGGCAGUUUUGGCCCCCAAAGUCACUUUUAACUUAGUCUGCGCUGACGUGGCACCCAUAUCCCUUAAGUGAGGUGCCACGUGUCGACCAUUGUGGGUGCCACGUCAGCGAAGACUAAGUCAAACGUGGUCUUGGAGACCAAAACUGCAAAAGAUUCAAUACAUAUGGGUUGUUUUGUAUUUUAAUUAGUUAGGGGUGAAAAUCGCAACUUUUGGAAAGAUAGGGGGCCAAAAGUGCAAUUAAGCCAAAUUAUAUUUCACAUAGGAAAGAGUUUAAAUAUAAACCAACCGCGUAAAUAUGUUUUACACUGUCGUUCAAAAAGAAACCAUCGUAUUGUCAUGUAUGUAUAUUUAUAACCAAUUUUUCAAAAAUAAGUUAAAUAUAUUUUCCGUCCAGACAAAAAAGAAUUGCACGGAAAUUUGGACCCUACUCUUAAUUCAACAUAUAUUUUGAUUGACUUUUUUUGCUAACAUGUUUAAAAUAUUAUAAAAAGUUCCUAUAAAAAUAUGAGCUUAAAAAUUGAUUUCUAGGUCGAGAUUUGUAUUACUUUUAUUAUGAAUUUUUGACGUUUCAUAAUCAUAUUUAAUUCAUUUGAUGUUAAAAAAAUUUAGAUGAAUAUUUUAUAAUACACAUCCAAAAAAAAAAUUCAAAAAUUUAGUUUUUGAAAAAAUAAAACUGCAAGUAGGAGUACUCAUGAACAUAGCUCGAUUGGUAAGAAUAUUGCAUAAUAUAUACAAGAGUCGGAGUUCAAAGCUCUAACACCUUACUUAUUCACCUUAUAAGAGAAUUUCUAGCCACCAAACUAUUUAAAAAAAAAAAAAAAACUGCUAGAAAAUUUGUUUAGAAAUGAAAAUGUGCCGCAUGUAAAAAUCUUAAAACAAAAACAUAUGGGUCAAUGCUAAUCUAAACAUGUUUAGAAUAUAUGAUAGGGUCUCGCUAACUAGAGCAUUUGUUAAAGAUACAAAAAUAGAAAUAAUAAGUAAAAAAAUUUUUUUUUUAAGUUUUAAUAUAUUGAAUCCACUAUUUUCAAGAUAAAUUUUUUUCUUUAAACUUCUUAACAAAUGCGCACUUGUUAGCAUUUGACAAUUUAUGAAGAAGAAAAAUGAAAACUUGACAAAUUCGAUGGAAAAAUUUUAUAUUUAACUCUUAAACCCCAAUCUAAAAUCCUCUAAAAAAAUCCCAAUAUAAAAUGGUUUAUAGUUUUUUUUUUACCAUGUAUACUUUUUUUUGAAGAAUUUCACUUAACUCUGAAAAAAUAAUUAUUAACAAAAUUAUAAUUGCAAAAACACUCAUACCUUCUAAGUCAACAAUAUCCAAGAGUGUUCUCUCCACUCUCGCUUCUGUUGGUUGAAUCAUCAUUAGAACUUCUCCAUGUAUCGUACCUCAAGCCAUUCCCAAUGUUCAGGUACGGGUUGCAACCAAGUGGAACACCAUGUUCUCUGGACACGACGCGUGUGCUGCAAGACAGAGAAUACGCCGGCGACUGAUACUUCCCUCGCCGCACAUUUCCUUCACAAAGAACGAAGCACCGCUGGUAAUCACAGUUUCACAAGUUAGUGUUUGCACAAGGGUAAUAUGGUAAACUUCAAAUAAAUAAUAUAUAUUUAAUUUUAGAGCUUGUAUAAAACAGCUUAUGCACAUUGCUAACUGUAGUCUGCAACGACAGACCAUGACCCAUAUUGAGGUACAUUGCUAACUGCCAAGCUUAACAUGCAUGCAUAAAAAGCCUCCUUUAUUAUUAGAUUAGAUACUUACGGGUCAAAUGCAUGCAUCAAAAGCGUCCUUGUUUAUGCUUCUUAGCAUGUAGUACUAUUUUGGAAAUCAAAAUUACCAACAUGAAAACUCAUGUUUGACCAGAAACAAUAGUAAUUAUUUACCUUCUUAUGAACACAUGUUUAUUGUCUUACCACCGUGUUGAGUUGUAUUCAAUUGAAAUGAGAAUCAUCGACCUAAUAAUUUUUCAUAAUGAGGCCUAAUACAAAUUUUAAUAUAUCAUAUAUUUUUUUGUCUACAGCCCUUUUAUUUAUAAACUAUAAUAAAAAUUAUUAAUCUUUUGUUGAUAGACCUAAAACGAGGAUUUUAGUUUCCUAUCUACUUACCUGUGGUUACUUUUCUUCAUUGAUUUUAUUUUCCCACUUUCUCAUGUGUCAGUGUCACUGACCCAUUGUGUGGAAAAUAUAACAAAGCAUCAUCAUGUCCUGUUGAGCAGGGGUACAAUUUUGUUUCAGUUAGAAUAGUUCAAUUAUCUCUUCAUGAAAUGCAAGAGGGGUAUGAUAGAAAAACUCAAUGGACUCUGCUAAAAAUCUUCUCUACCUUAGCACAGUCGAAAAUCAUAAAAACAAAUUGUUAGUGUUAGAUUACUCUUUGAUUCUACUAUGUCUCACCUUAUCUUUUUGCCCUUGUUCUUCUGAUACCAUAACUAUUCACAAACCCAUAAGAGAUGGUGAACUUCUCAUUUCUAAAUCUAAAACAUUUGCUCUUGGAUUCUUCACUCCAGGAAAGUCCACCUCUCGCUAUGUUGGAAUCUGGUACAACAAUUUGCCGAUCCAAACUGUUGUUUGGGUUGCAAAUAGAGAUGCUCCCAUCAAUGACACUUCUGGAAUUCUAUCAAUCAACCAAAAUGGGAAUCUAGAACUCCACCACAACCUUAGCACCAUUCCCAUUUGGUCUACCAAUGUUUCAUUAACACAGUCACAAAGAAAUAACACCAAUGUUAUAGCUCAACUAUUGGAUAUAGGAAACCUUGUUCUGAGGUUAAACGACACCGAAACUGCCAUCUGGGAAAGCUUUGAUCAUCCCACAGACACAAUGCUUCCGUAUCAAAAGAUUGGUUUUGAUAGAAAAAUUAAUCAAAGUUGGGUCCUUCAAUCCUGGAAGACAGAUGAUGACCCUGGAAAAGGUGCGUUCACGGUGAAAUUCAGCACCAUUGGCAAACCACAAUUGUUUAUGUACAACCAUGAUCGUCCUUGGUGGCGUGGUGGACAUUGGAAUGGAGCAAUAUUAGUAGGCCUACCUCAUAUGAUAGGAGAUAUGGCAGUUCGUAAUGUUUCUUGGGUUGAAGAUGACAACUAUGUAUCACUCUCAUAUAACAUGUUUAAUAAGUCUGUCAUUACAAGGAUAGUGGUUCAGCAAUCUGGUUUCUUUCAAACAUUCAUGUGGGACAGUCAAGAGAGUCAAUGGAGCCGGUACUGGUCUGAACCAACAGACCAAUGUGCUAACUACGGAACAUGUGGACCAAACAGUAAUUGUGACCCUUUGAACUUUGAGAGCUUUAAGUGUACUUGUUUACUUGGUUUUGAACCAAAAUUUCCACGUGAUUGGUAUGAGAGUAGAGAUGGGUUGGGAGGAUGUGUAAGAAAAAGAGGUGCAUCUGUUUGUGGGAAUGGAGAAGGGUUUAACAAAGUUUUAAGGGUGAAAGUUCCUGAUAUAUCUGGGGCAGUUGCCAUAGAUGGUUUGACUUUGGAAGAAUGUGAGAAAGAUUGCUUGAGAAACUGUUCUUGUAAUGCCUAUGCAGUUGCUGAUGUGAGGAAUGGUGGUAGUGGAUGUUUGACGUGGCAUGGGAAUUUAAUGGACAUUCAAAAACUUAGUAAUCAGGGCCAAGAUUUAUUUUUGCGCGUCGAGAAAGUUGAACUUGGUAAGAUAUUCCCUCCUACUGUUUUUUUUUUUUUUUGUUUAUAAAUUUGACACCACUUUUAAGUGUAGUUUAAACUUCUUUGGACUUGUUUUUUCUUAUCAGCUAAUUACAACAAAAAAAGCAAAGGAGUCCUUGAUAAAAAGAGGUUAGCUGCAAUUCUUGUAGCUUCUAUAGUUGCAAUUGUCAUCCUCCUCUUCUGUGUGAAUUACAUGUGGAAGAAAAAGAGAAAGGGUAUGUGAUUUAUUUUUUGGGAUGAUAUCCCCUAUUCUUAUAUUUUUUGAGUGGUUGCCAUUUGAUUCUGAACUGUCUCUACCACACCACACUCCCCAAGUCCCAACACAGACUUAGAAACACACGCCACACAAAUGAUGAGACUUUAAAGGGGGCCGAUUUAUGCCAAUUCUUUGGUCAUUUGGAUAUUCUGUGUGCCAAUCCAGACUGAAGUGUUUUAUCAGCAGUUCUAACCAUGUUUUGAUUAAGUUGGUCUAUCAAUGUUAUACAAACAAUCUCUUCAAAUUUCCUUAGCAACUGCUAAUAAUUGUUGUUGUUGUUGAGCGACCAUUACACGUACAACACUAGAAAAAUGUAAAAUAUAAGAUUUUUUUGGAGAACCAAAAAGAAAUAUACCUUAUCAAAAUGUUUAAGUUGAUUGAAAUCUUACCUUAUGUCAUUUGUAACUUCAGAUAAAAUGAUGCCGCAACCAAACCAAGAUUCCUCUGGGGAAGAGAAUGAUACCCAAAGCAACACGCAUCCAAAUCU
rnacentral:lncRNA from 1 species